rnacentral:sRNA from 1 species
AAUCUCACAACUCUUUGAAUUUAAAGUCGGCUAGUUUCAGUUAGAUAAAAUGAAUAGUUACAUUUUUCGAUCUCUUAAUAAAAUAAAAAUUAAAUUUAUUUGUACAUUGAAUAUGUAAAUGGUUUUUUUAGCAUAUAAAUGCUUAUAAUUGGAUGUAACAUCCAGCAUCUAUUUAAUUGUUUUAUAAACAUAACAAAACAAGCAAAAAGAAGAUAUUCUACCCUUUUAACCCCUUUUAAUUCUGUAAAUGUCUCGGGAAAUCCCAGUCUCGGACUCUUAACUUCUCGCCUGUGUUACAUCCACAGGGUCAACAUGUAAUUUGGCUCAGUUACUUCAUUUGCAUUUGUCACGCUCGUUAGUCCUACGGAAUUCCCAAUGGGAAGUACGUAGUUUUCGAUAUCCAAUGACAGUCACGUGACCGGAAUUCCUCACUGGGCCAAAACAAAAACUAGCGCCGAGUGAAGUUCAAGUAAUGCUUACUAAGCUGAAAAGUUCUGUUCUCGCCGGAAUGCAGGCAUAGAAAUGUAUUUUUUAAAAUGUAACGCAGAAGCGACAACAUCACAGGACUUGGGACUCUUGGUCCUUGAGCUCAUAAAUAAAUAUAAAAAUUAUUGUAAUA